rnacentral:misc_RNA from 1 species
GGUGUUGAGCUGCCUAACGAAGCUAGAAAAAUUAUUAUGUUUAAAAUAUUUAGGAAGCAAAUCCCUAGCGAACUCCGUUGGAUUCCACACUAUAAAAGUAGAUCCGUCUUCAUUCCAAGAGAUCACAUCGUCAAUAGAUUGAUCCUCGAUGAGCUGGUAGGUCUUUGUUAAAAACGGUGUCGGCACAGACCUCGGCGUUUCACCGGCUGUCGUCUCUCCUUUGUUCCGGUCUAUUGGCUGUGGAGUCAUCUCUUCUUAUUACCUGACGAACUAAUUAAGUUCGUAUUGAAUCAACUCAUCAAAAAACCAUUUUCUAGCUAAUAUAAUACAUACAGCAAAAAUAAUAGUAACACCAAAACUACGUACUUGAGUGAAGAUCGAUGAAGCUAUUCUCACAGAUCUGGAGCCAAAACUACAGAGAGGACGACCGUCGGAAUUUUCGGUGAUUCUGGAAGUUUCCGGCGCCACAUAGAGGUGAGUGGGUGUGGGGUGGGUAGGAACAAAGAGAGAUGGGAAGAUAAUUGGAAAAUUCGAAAAAGAAGGAAUAAAGAUAAGGAGAAAAUAUUAAUAAAAGAAAAAAGCGAGAGUACAAAGAAACAAGCAAAAAGCUACGUUAAGCACAGCUUCCCAAAGUAGAAUUAAAUUAAAAAUAGAACUAAAGUCGUAGAGAUACUUAUUGCCUUUCGGGAAACUUCUUUUACGUGUUACCUUAUGAGAGGCUUUACGCACCCACAGAUGAAUAGGCGAUGUAUUUGCGCUACUCAAAAUUUAUUUAAACAAAUAAAUAAGAUGUUUUUUUAACAAUUUGGUCUCAUAGGAAUUGGUUUGGACAUGG